UACAGAGGUGGCAAGCGUUGUUCGGAAUUACUGGGCGUAAAGGGCGCGUAGGCGGCCUUCUAAGUCAGACGUGAAAUCCCCCGGCUCAACCUGGGAACUGCGUCUGAUACUGGAGGGCUUGAGUGCGGGAGAGGGAUGUGGAAUUCCAGGUGUAGCGGUGAAAUGCGUAGAUAUCUGGAGGAACACCGGUGGCGAAGGGGGCAUCCUGGACCGACACUGACGCUGAGGCGCGAAAGCGUGGGGAGCAAACAGG
rnacentral:rRNA from 1 species